AGAAAUGUGCUCCCUUCCCUUCCCUUCCCUUCCCUUCCUAAAGCUGUGUCCCUCCUCAUUCCCACAAUCACCAAAGAUGUCCCAGCUCUGGCUGGGGUCCUCUGUGGAGCAGUUUGUGUUGAAGUAUUUGGAGAAACUGCUGUGCUGUGAACAUGGAUGUUCCAAAUCCCACCAGGUGCUUCACCAUGCAGGGCCAAGGAGCUGGUCCAGGAUUCAACCAAGAGCCUUUGACCUCUGAGCCCAGGCCAUCAACAGUCAGGUAAAGCAACUUAGCUCAGGCUGUGGCAGGACAGAACACUUCCUUGGCCAUCUGUGAAGGUAAGGUAAACAAAGGGUUGAUUGAAUGCAACUGUAAAAACUCCAGCAGUGAGUUUUUGAGCAGUCAGCCUUGCUCAAGGAAGCUGCUGGCCCAGUCUGCAAAUGGAUCCUCUCAUCUGGGUCCAGUCCUGCAACUGCCAAGCCCAGUGGCCAGACUCCUUGUGGGGAGAGGGGGAAGCAGGCCAUGGCUUUGCAUUUGGUGCUUGGUUAAUGUUUGGAUGAGCUGAGUGGUGAGCUGGGUCUAGUGUAGUAAUUGUGUUUGUUAUAGAGCAAUAACCCUGCAGGGUUACCAUGAAAUUUGACACAGCUUAUAUGAGAUACAGUCUGAUGCAGAGGCAGGGCAGCAAACCCUUGGCAGAAAAACUGCCUGUUGUGCUGGGGCAAACCUUGAAUCACAAAGGUGAUGUGACUGAACAAAGGCACUUUAUCUGCUGCUUCAGGUGUGAGGACUGGCUGCCCCUGUGCUCCACCACAGCCCGGUCCCAGGCCCUGCAGUGGCACUCAGCCUCCCUGGCCUUUCAGAGGGGAAGCUGUUUGCUGAGGGGAACAGGGUUAUGCACUGGUGUGACUCGACAGCAGAUGACAGAGGUUAGGACAAGGCCUGGGGUGGCUGAGAUGCUGUUGCCAUGGAAAUCACCCAGUGUCUGGAAUAGCAAGAAGGAGAGCAACUCAAAAAGUAAUGAUCUGUCACAUCGAUUAAGGGGGAGUUGGAGGGAUUGUGUUUGGGGAAAACCUCGUGCUUCAAGUAAUGCAAAUCCAUAUGCCACAUCUCCCUGUUUGCCUCUCCCUGAAGGGCUCUGUCAACAGGAAACAAUCUGA
rnacentral:lncRNA from 1 species